UUUUGAUCUUGAUCCGGGUCCACGGUGAAGGACGGCCCAGAGACUCAGCCUUUGCAUUUGAUACUAUUAGCCUCACUAAAGAAGCCAGACCUACAGAAAUGUGACUACCUGACCCUUGGCCGGCUAUCUCAAGUUCUCAGCAUCAUCAAAUCUCUGUGUCACUCAUAAUCACUCCCCAGUUCCCUCUACUUCCAGAAAUAAUAUGUGUCUGUUACAUGUUUACAAGGUAGAAUAAAGCCAGUGAAUGGACA